rnacentral:tRNA from 1 species
GUCAGGAUGGCCGAGUGGUCUAAGGCGGCAGACUCAAGUUCUGCUCCUCUCGCGAGGGCGUGGGUUCAAAUCCCACUUCUGACA